rnacentral:misc_RNA from 1 species
GGCUAAUUCACAUUACUUUGCAAUUAUUGAACAGAUUACAGAAGGAAAUAUGUGGUUGAAUGAGACUAUAGGUGUAAUUCCUAAAAAUUCUUGGGCCAUUGAUCCCUUCGGCUAUUCACCAACUAUGGCAUAUCUUUUGCGGCGUAUGGGUUUUGAGAACAUGCUAAUACAGAGGACUCAUUAUGAGUUGAAGAAGGAACUGGCUUUAAACCAGAAUUUGGAAUAUGUGUGGCGACAGAGCUGGGAUGCCGAAGAAAGAACUGAUAUAUUUGUCCAUAUGAUGCCAUUUUAUUCCUAUGAUGUUCCACAUACUUGUGGACCUGAGCCUGCAAUUUGUUGUCAGUUUGACUUUGCUCGAAUGUAUGGGUUUCCUUAUGAACGAUGUCCUUGGGGAGAGCAUCCCGAGGAGACCACCCAGGAAAAUGUGAAGGAAAGAGCACUUAAACUUUUGGAUCAGUAUAGAAAGAAAUCAACACUAUAUCGAACAAAUACACUUCUUGUUCCUCUAGGUGAUGAUUUCCGUUAUGUCAGUGUUGAUGAAGCAGAAGCUCAGUUUCGGAAUUACCAAAUGCUGUUUGAUUAUAUCAAUUCCAACCCUGGCUUGAAUGCAGAGGCUAAUUUUGGUACUUUGGAUGAUUAUUUCCGAACACUACGUGAUGAGGCUGACAGAGUAAACUAUUCUCGUCCACAUGAGAUUGGAUCUGGUGAGAUUGGGGGAUUCCCUUCUCUGUCAGGUGAUUUCUUCACUUAUGCUGACAGGCAACAGGAUUACUGGAGUGGCUAUUAUGUCUCCAGGCCUUUCUUCAAGGCAGUUGAUCGUGUUUUGGAGCAUAACCUUCGCAGUGCCGAAAUGUUGAUGGCUUUCCUAUUAGGUUACUGCCAGAGAAUACAGUGUGAAAAAUUGCCUAUUGGAUUUUCCUACAAAUUGACCGCAGCGAGAAGGAACCUGGCACUUUUUCAGCAUCAUGAUGGGGUC